rnacentral:rRNA from 1 species
UACAGAGGUCCCAAGCGUUGUUCGGAUUCAUUGGGCGUAAAGGGUGCGUAGGCGGCGCGGUAAGUCGGGUGUGAAAUCUCGGAGCUUAACUCCGAAACUGCAUUCGAUACUGCCGUGCUUGAGGACUGGAGAGGAGACUGGAAUUUACGGUGUAGCGGUGAAAUGCGUAGAUAUCGUAAGGAAGACCAGUGGCGAAGGCGGGUCUCUGGACAGUUACUGACGCUGAGGCACGAAGGCCAGGGGAGCAAACGGG